AGGUUACACUGGUCUGCAUUGUAUGUAUCCAUUUACUUUAAAGGGGUACAUAACUGAUCUGGUCUCUAGUAAUCCAGCUAGGAAAGUGAGCUUUAGAUUCAAAGGUUUUGAUAGACUUAGAGCCUCAGUGAUAUCUGGAGAAGAUGAUCUUCUCUCUUGUUCAGAGAACAAUAGAGUUUCAGCACAAGAUACCUUAAUUGGCAAAAGAUUGAACCAACCAUCUGGAAUUGAGUUACAACCUGAUGCAAUAGGUUUUGGAACCCUUACUGCUGAAAUAACUCCCACCACCAGUGUUUUCUUUCCUAAUGAUGAUGAGUAUGACCUGGAUCGUCCUACUGAUGGAUUUGCUUCCAUCCCGGAGGCCAUUGAAGAUAUUCGUCAAGGCAAGUUAGUAAUUGUUGUUGACGAUGAAGACAGAGAAAAUGAGGGAGACCUAAUAAUGGCAGCAUCAAAGGCAACACCUGAAGCUAUGGCAUUUAUUGUCAAACAUGGAACUGGAAUAGUUUGUGUGAGCAUGAAAGGGGGAGAUUUGGAGAGGUUGGAACUUCCUCUAAUGGUAACUCAGAAGGAGAAUGAGGAAAAACUUUGCACGGCAUUCACUGUAUCUGUGGAUGCAAAACAUGGCACAACAACAGGUGUCUCAGCUCAUGACAGGGCGACAACAGUGUUGGCUCUUGCCUCUAGAGAAUCCAAACCUGAAGAUUUCAAUCGCCCGGGUCAUAUUUUCCCACUUAAGUACAGGGAAGGAGGAGUUCUAAAAAGAGCUGGACAUACAGAAGCUUCUGUUGAUCUUGCAAUGCUAGCUGGAUUAGAACCUGUUGCUGUUUUAUGUGAGAUUGUAGAUGAUGAUGGCUCUAUGGCAAGAUUACCAAGGCUUCGCCAAUUUGCGCAAGCUGAAAACUUGAAAAUAAUUUCCAUAGCUGAUCUAAUCAGAUAUAGGAGGAAAAGAGAUAGACUGGUGGAGUUGUCUGCCACUGCUCCAAUACCCACAAUGUGGGGACCAUUCAAAGCCUACUGUUAUAGGUCAUUUCUGGAUGGGAUAGAGCAUAUAGCAAUGGUUAAAGGUGAAAUUGGUGAUGGUAAGGAUAUUCUUGUGAGGGUGCAUUCUGAGUGCCUCACUGGUGACAUAUUUGGAUCAGCGAGAUGUGAUUGUGGAAAUCAGCUAGCCCUUGCAAUGAAGCAAAUUGAGGCUGCUGGCAGGGGUGUAUUGGUAUACCUCCGCGGACAUGAAGGUAGAGGAAUUGGUUUGGGCCACAAGCUUCGUGCUUACAACCUACAGGAUGAUGGAUGUGACACCGUUGAGGCCAAUGAAGAGCUGGGUUUACCUAUUGAUUCUCGUGAAUAUGGCAUUGGUGCACAGAUACUAAGAGAUUUGGGCGUGCAUACAAUGAGGCUGAUGACAAAUAAUCCUGCAAAAUAUGUGGGGCUUAAAGGUUAUGGCCUGGCAAUUGCAGGCAGGGUCCCAUUGUUGACUCCAAUAACUAGGGAGAACAGGAGAUAUUUGGAGACUAAACGUGAAAAAAUGGGGCACAUAUAUGGUUCAGAUUCUAAUGGCCAUGUAAGUGGUAUUAUCAGUGAAACUAAUAGCUCAAUCAUUGGCUCUCAAACUGAUGGUGCAUCCAAGGCAUAAUUGCUUCAAUCAGUUCUGGUGAAAUGGCACGUUGACAUGGCUUGGAGCUUCAACUAGGAAAAUUCAAGGGUUUUUUUCCCCACAUUCUGAUUUACAUUCUUUUUUGAUGUAUGUAUAAUGUACAUUUAUAUUUUCACUAGGAGGGUAAAGAAAUUCCUAGAUGCAUUUCCUUCUCACAAGAAAGGAGAGGAUGAUGUAUUUAUUUUAACUAUAAUGCUGAAAGUGGUGGAUUUUGUUCAUGAACACCAGGUAUUUGGAAAAUUAUAUAUAUUUGGUUGAAGUUAAGAAAUUAAAAAAAAAU
rnacentral:misc_RNA from 1 species